AUUGAACGCUGGCGGCAGGCCUAACACAUGCAAGUCGAGCGGAUGAAGGGAGCUUGCUCCCUGAUUUAGCGGCGGACGGGUGAGUAAUGCCUAGGAAUCUGCCUGGUAGUGGGGGAUAACGUUCCGAAAGGAACGCUAAUACCGCAUACGUCCUACGGGAGAAAGCAGGGGACCUUCGGGCCUUGCGCUAUCAGAUGAGCCUAGGUCGGAUUAGCUAGUUGGUGAGGUAAUGGCUCACCAAGGCGACGAUCCGUAACUGGUCUGAGAGGAUGAUCAGUCACACUGGAACUGAGACACGGUCCAGACUCCUACGGGAGGCAGCAGUGGGGAAUAUUGGACAAUGGGCGAAAGCCUGAUCCAGCCAUGCCGCGUGUGUGAAGAAGGUCUUCGGAUUGUAAAGCACUUUAAGUUGGGAGGAAGGGCAUUAACCUAAUACGUUAGUGUUUUGACGUUACCGACAGAAUAAGCACCGGCUAACUUCGUGCCAGCAGCCGCGGUAAUACGAAGGGUGCAAGCGUUAAUCGGAAUUACUGGGCGUAAAGCGCGCGUAGGCGGUUCGUUAAGUUGGAUGUGAAAGCCCCGGGCUCAACCUGGGAACUGCAUCCAAAACUGGCGAGCUAGAGUACGGUAGAGGGUGGUGGAAUUUCCUGUGUAGCGGUGAAAUGCGUAGAUAUAGGAAGGAACACCAGUGGCGAAGGCGACCACCUGUACUGAUACUGACACUGAGGUGCGAAAGCGUGGGGAGCAAACAGGAUUAGAUACCCUGGUAGUCCACGCCGUAAACGAUGUCAACUAGCCGUUGGGUUCCUUGAGAACUUAGUGGCGCAGCUAACGCAUUAAGUUGACCGCCUGGGGAGUACGGCCGCAAGGUUAAAACUCAAAUGAAUUGACGGGG
rnacentral:rRNA from 1 species